rnacentral:rRNA from 1 species
GAUGAACGCUGGCGGCGUGCCUAAUACAUGCAAGUCGAGCGAACGGACGAGAAGCUUGCUUCUCUAAUGUUAGCGGCGGACGGGUGAGUAACACGUGGAUAACCUACCUAUAAGACUGGGAUAACUUCGGGAAACCGUAGCUAAUACCGGAUAAUAUUUUGAACCGCAUGGUUCAAAAGUGAAAGACGGUCUUGCUGUCACUUAUAGAUGGAUCCGCGCUGCAUUAGCUAGUUGGUAAGGUAACGGCUUACCAAGGCAACGAUGCAUAGCCGACCUGAGAGGGUGAUCGGCCACACUGGAACUGAGACACGGUCCAGACUCCUACGGGAGGCAGCAGUAGGGAAUCUUCCGCAAUGGGCGAAAGCCUGACGGAGCAACGCCGCGUGAGUGAUGAAGGUCUUCGGAUCGUAAAACUCUGUUAUUAGGGAAGAACAUAUGUGUAAGUAACUGUGCACAUCUUUACGGUACCUAAUCAGAAAGCCACGGCUAACUACGUG